GAGACCUUACGAUUUUAGGACGGUAACGCGACGACAACGGCCAAAACAAGCUCAUUCAAAUAAAUGGUAGCAAAGAUAAUUUGUGGUAUAUAGUAUCAAUCGUAUGAAUUUAAUACAGUCUUAGAAGUUGAAGACAUGAGUUUUAUGGUUGGGAAGAGUUCUGCUGAACCCAGUUUGAAGUUGCACUUGUUGCAUCAAGACGUGAAAAUCUGUGAUUUGGCGUUGUAAACAGAGCGAGGACAAUGUCUAAAUUAUUCAUAUAUUGUAGUUAUUCAAUUCUUUUCAAUGAUCAGCCGUUGCCGUCGCGUUGCCAUCCUAAACCGUAAGGUCUCUAGUAUGGGAAGCGGGAAGGAGGUGGGCCGGUGGAGAAGGUAAGGUUGGGAGUUAAGUAGGCUUGUGUAUAAAGUGUGAAUGGGACAUGGGGUAUAAAGAAUGGGUGUGAGUAGGUGGGGGUGUGAGGUAAGUAAGGUUGUGAACAGCAAGUGGGUAGGUGUGAAAAAGGGGUUAUGGGUGGGUAGGGAGAUGGGGUAAGUAUGGUUGUAGAACAGCAAGAAAUGGGCAGCUGUGAGAUGCGAAGAAGGGGUCUAGGAUGUGUAGGGGAGUGAGGUAAGUAUGGUUGUGGAACAGCAAGAAGUGGGCAGUGGAGGGUGUGAAGAAGAGGUUAGGGUCGGUAGGGGUGUAGGGUAAGUAUGGUUGUGGAACAGCAAGAAGUGGAGGAUGUGAAGAAGGGGUCUAUGGUUGGUAGGGGUGUGGGGUAAGUAUGGUUGUGAAAGAGCAAGAUGUGGGCAGCUGAGAGUGUGAAUAGAGUUUAGCGUGGGUAGG